rnacentral:rRNA from 1 species
UACGGAGGGUGCAAGCGUUGUUCGGAAUUAUUGGGCGUAAAGCGCGUGUAGGUGGUCGGGUAAGUCAGAUGUGAAAGCCUUCUGCUUAACAGAAGAAGUGCAUUUGAAACUGCUCGGCUAGAGUACGGGAGAGGAGAGUGGAAUUCCCGGUGUAGAGGUGAAAUUCGUAGAUAUCGGGAGGAACACCAGUGGCGAAGGCGGCUCUCUGGUCCGAUACUGACGCUGAGACGCGAAAGCGUGGGGAGCAAACAGG